UACGUAGGGGGCAAGCGUUGUCCGGAAUCAUUGGGCGUAAGGAGCGCGUAGGCGGUCCGGUAAGUCGGUUGUGAAAACUGGGGGCUCAACCCUCAGAGGCCGACCGAUACUGUCGGGCUAGAGUCCGGAAGAGGCGAGUGGAAUUCCUGGCGUAGCGGUGAAAUGCGCAGAUAUCAGGAGGAACACCAAUGGCGAAGGCAGCUCGCUGGGACGGUACUGACGCUGAGGCGCGAAAGCGUGGGGAGCAAACGGG
rnacentral:rRNA from 1 species